rnacentral:rRNA from 1 species
UGGGGAAUAUUGGACAAUGGGCGAAAGCCUGAUCCAGCCAUGCCGCGUGAGUGAUGAAGGCCCUAGGGUUGUAAAGCUCUUUCACCGGUGAAGAUAAUGACGGUAACCGGAGAAGAAGCCCCGGCUAACUUCGUGCCAGCAGCCGCGGUAAUACGAAGGGGGCUAGCGUUGUUCGGAAUUACUGGGCGUAAAGCGCACGUAGGCGGAUAUUUAAGUCAGGGGUGAAAUCCCGGGGCUCAACCCCGGAACUGCCUUUGAUACUGGGUAUCUAGAGUAUGGUAGAGGUGAGUGGAAUUCCGAGUGUAGAGGUGAAAUUCGUAGAUAUUCGGAGGAACACCAGUGGCGAAGGCGGCUCACUGGACCAUUACUGACGCUGAGGUGCGAAAGCGUGGGGAGCAAACAGGAUUAGAUACCCCGGUAGUCCACGCCGUAAACGAUGGAAGCUAGCCGUUGGCAGGUUUACCUGUCGGUGGCGCAGCUAACGCAUUAAGCUUCCCGCCUGGGGAGUACGGUCGCAAGA